rnacentral:rRNA from 1 species
GAUGAACGCUGGCGGCGUGCCUAAUACAUGCAAGUCGAGUGAACAGACGAGGAGCUUGCUCCUCUGACGUUAGCGGCGGACGGGUGAGUAACACGUGGAUAACCUACCUAUAAGACUGGGAUAACUUCGGGAAACCGGAGCUAAUACCGGAUAAUAUAUUGAACCGCAUGGUUCAAUAGUGAAAGACGGUUUUGCUGUCACUUAUAGAUGGAUCCGCGCCGCAUUAGCUAGUUGGUAAGGUAACGGCUUACCAAGGCAACGAUGCGUAGCCGACCUGAGAGGGUGAUCGGCCACACUGGAACUGAGACACGGUCCGGACUCCUACGGGAGGCAGCAGUAGGGAAUCUUCCGCAAUGGGCGAAAGCCUGACGGAGCAACGCCGCGUGAGUGAUGAAGGUCUUCGGAUCGUAAAACUCUGUUAUUAGGGAAGAACAAAUGUGUAAGUAACUAUGCACGUCUUGACGGUACCUAAUCAGAAAGCCACGGCUAACUACGUG